CAGUCGCCGCGGUAAAACGAGGGGGGCAAGCGUUGUUCGGAAUUAUUGGGCGUAAAGGGUGCGUAGGCGGUUUGGCAAGUUUGGUGUGAAAUCUUCGGGCUCAACUCGAAGUCUGCAUCGAAAACUGCCGGGCUUGAGUAUGGGAGAGGUGAGUGGAAUUUCCGGUGUAGCGGUGAAAUGCGUAGAUAUCGGAAGGAACACCUGUGGCGAAAGCGGCUCACUGGACCAUUACUGACGCUGAGGCGCGAAAGCUAGGGGAGCAAACAGGAUUAGAUACCCGUGUAGUCCCUGUCUCUUAUAC
rnacentral:rRNA from 1 species